UUGGAAACUGGAUGACUUGAGUGCAGAAGAGGAAAGUGGAACUCCAUGUGUAGCGGUGAAAUGCGUAGAUAUAUGGAAGAACACCAGUGGCGAAGGCGGCUUUCUGGACUGUAACUGACGUUGAGGCUCGAAAGUGUGGGUAGCAAACAGGAUUAGAUACCCUGGUAGUCCACACCGUAAACGAUGAAUGCUANGUGUUUGAGGGUUUCCGCCCUUCAGUGCCGCAGCUAACGCAUUAAGCANUCCGCCUGGGGAGUACGACCGCAAGGUUGAAACUCAAAGGAAUUGACGGGGACCCGCACAAGCGG
rnacentral:rRNA from 1 species